rnacentral:rRNA from 1 species
UACGUAGGUGGCAAGCGUUGUCCGGAAUUAUUGGGCGUAAAGCGCGCGCAGGCGGCCUCUUAAGUCUGAUGUGAAAGCCCCCGGCUCAACCGGGGAGGGCCAUUGGAAACUGGGAGGCUUGAGUAUAGGAGAGAAGAGUGGAAUUCCACGUGUAGCGGUGAAAUGCGUAGAGAUGCGGAGGAACACCAGUGGCGAAGGCGACUCUUUGGCCUAUAACUGACGCUGAGGCGCGAAAGCGUGGGGAGCAAACAGG